ACAAAGUGGUUAAUGUGUUUGGCUGCUAAACAAAAGUUUGGUGGUUCCAACCCACC
rnacentral:tRNA from 1 species